rnacentral:rRNA from 1 species
UACGGAGGAUGCGAGCGUUAUCCGGAUUUAUUGGGUUUAAAGGGUGCGUAGGCGGCGAGUUAAGUCAGCGGUAAAAGCCCGGGGCUCAACCCCGGCCCGCCGUUGAAACUGGCUGGCUUGAGUUGGGGAAAGGCAGGCGGAAUGCGCGGUGUAGCGGUGAAAUGCAUAGAUAUCACACAGAACACCGAUUGCGAAGGCAUCUGACGAAUCGGAGAUUGACGCUGAUGCACGAAAGCGUGGGUAUCGAACAGG